rnacentral:rRNA from 1 species
UACGGAGGGUGCGAGCGUUAUUCGGAAUCAUUGGGCGUAAAGCGCGCGUAGGCGGUGGGGCAAGUCUGGUGUGAAAGCCCGGGGCUUAACCUCGGAAGGGCAUUGGAAACUGCCUCACUUGAGUGCCGGAGAGGAAGGGGGAAUUCCCGGUGUAGCGGUGAAAUGCGUAGAUAUCGGGAGGAAUACCAGUGGCGAAGGCGUCCUUCUGGACGGCAACUGACGCUGAGGCGAGAAAGCGUGGGGAGCAAACAGG